rnacentral:rRNA from 1 species
AGAGUUUGAUCCUGGCUCAGGAUGAACGCUAGCGGCAGGCUUAACACAUGCAAGUCGAGGGGCAACGCGAGUAGCAAUACUUGGCGGCGACCGGCGCAAGGGUGCGUAACGCGUGAGCAACAUGCCCGUAUCAGGGGGAUAAUCCAGGGAAACUUGGUCUAAUACCCCAUAGUAAUUUUGUAAGGCAUCUUAUAAGAUUUAAAGCUUUGGUGGAUACGGAUUGGCUCGCGUGACAUUAGCUGGAUGGUAAGGUAACGGCUUACCAUGGCUAUGAUGUCUAGGGGUUCUGAGAGGAAGGUCCCCCACACUGGAACUGAGACACGGUCCAGACUCCUACGGGAGGCAGCAGUGAGGAAUAUUGGUCAAUGGACGAGAGUCUGAACCAGCCAAAGUAGCGUGAAGGAUGACUGCCCUAUGGGUUGUAAACUUCUUUUAUAAGGGAAUAAAGUGAGGGACGUGUCCCUUUUUGUAUGUACCUUAUGAAUAAGGAUCGGCUAACUCCGUGCCAGCCGCCGC